UCCCAUGAGGAUUGGGUUACUUGGCUGAGCUGUGAUCUAUGCAAAUAUGCAUUUAUAAACGUUCACAAGGAUUUUGAUACUUGCUGAGUGCAUAGGAAAAGCAGUGAGCUGUUCACUUUUAGUAAUUUAUACCCAGUGAAGCAAGAAUAUAACUCUCAUCCAUGCAUGGUUGUAGCUUUCUUGGACAUUUAUGCUGAGGGGAGAAAACACAAGUCUUGAGACAUGGAGUAAGAGCUCCUGUGUAAUGUGAAUGCUGUUUGAAGGUGACUUUUAUCCACACAGACCUAGAACGCUUCCUGGGAGAGUGGUGUGUUCCAGAUCCCUUCCUGCUCUGUGAUGCGUUAACGAGGUCUGCUGCUCUCCUCUGGAUAUUGUCUGGAUUCAGCUGCCAGCUCCAGUGGCAGUGGAAGGCAAGGAUGGAGAGGUUAACAGCUACCUCACUCACCCCCAAGGGCUGGGAGGGCUGGCAAAGCACAGAGGGCUUUCUCCUGCUUAGGCUGCCACAGCUCAUGCAAUGCCACAGAUUAAUGGAGCUCCAGACUGUCUGAUGGAGUUUUUCCCACAGAGCAAA